GAAUCAGCCGGUACUCGCGAAUGCACUAGANUUUGAAGUUUGGAUCCAUGGCUCAGAUUCAACGCUNAGUAAGGGAUGCCUUACACAUGCAAGUCGAACGGCAGCACAGACUUCGGUCUGGUGGCGAGUGGCGAACGGGUGAGUAAUGUAUCGGAACGUGCCCAGUAGUGGGGGAUAACUACGCGAAAGCGUAGCUAAUACCGCAUACGCCCUACGGGGGAAAGCAGGGGAUCGCAAGACCUUGCACUAUUGGAGCGGCCGAUAUCGGAUUAGCUAGUUGGUAGGGGUAACGGCUCACCACGGCGACGAUCCGUAGCUGGUUUGAGAGGACGACCAGCCACACUGGGACUGAGACACGGCCCAGACUCCUACGGGAGGCAGCAAGUGGGGAAAUUUUGGACAAAUGGGGGAAACCCUGAUCCAGCCAUCCCGCAGUGUAGCGAUGAAAGGCCUAUCGGGUUAGUAAAGCCACUUUUGGCCAGGAAAGAAACGUCCAUGGGUUAAUAACCCGUGAAAACUGACCGGUACCUUGGCAGGAAUAAGCACCGGGCUAACUACGUGUCCAAGCAGCCCGCAGGUAAUAACAGUAACGGUAGCAAGGCGUUAAUCCAGGGGAAAUUUACACCUUGGGGGGCCGUUACAAAAAGCCACGUUAGGCCACACCAGAGGGACAGCAGGGUCAUCCNGGAAAAAAGGCAAAAGAGGAAUCGUUGGAAACAANCCACCCCANGAAACCAGUAAACUAGAGGCGAGAACCCAGGCCAAUUUUUAACGCCUCACACCNGAGGGGCCUCACACAAGUUGGGAAGCACAACANAAAGGGAAAGGGGGAGGCAAAAUUACCCACGGAUGCGGAUNACACGGGNCAAAACAGGACGNAAGCAAAAUCANGACAGAAC
rnacentral:rRNA from 1 species